AGUGAACGCUGGCGGUAGGCCUAACUCAUGCAAGUCGAACGGCAGCACAGAGGAGCUUGUUCCUUGGGUGGCGAGUGGCGGACGGGUGAGGAAUACAUCGGAAUCUACUCUGUCGUGGGGGAUAACGUAGGGAAACUUACGCUAAUACCGCAUACGACCUACGGGUGAAAGCAGGGGAUCUUCGGACCUUGCGCGAUUGAAUGAGCCGAUGUCGGAUUAGCUAGUUGGCGGGGUAAAGGCCCACCAAGGCGACGAUCCGUAGCUGGUCUGGGAGGAUGGUCAGCCACGCUGGAACGGAGACACGGUCCAGACUCCUACGGGAGGCAGCAGUGGGGAAUAUUGGACAAUGGGCGCAAGCCUGAUCCAGCCAUACCGCGUGGGUGAAGAAGGCCUUCGGGUUGUAAAGCCCUUUUGUUGGGAAAGAAAUCCAUCUGGUUAAUACCCGGGUGGGAUGACGGUACCCAAAGAAUAAGCACCGGCUAACUUCGUGCCAGCCGCCGCCGUAA
rnacentral:rRNA from 1 species